rnacentral:rRNA from 1 species
AGAGCGAACGCUGGCGGCGUGCUUAACACAUGCAAGUCGAACGCGCAGCAUUCUGUAGCAAUACAGGAUGUGGGCGCGUGGCGAACGGGUGCGUAACACGUGGAUAACCUUCCUUCAGGUGGGGAAUAACCCAGCGAAAGUUGGGCUAAUACCGCAUAACAUGACGAUGCCACAUGGUGUUGUCUUCAAAGGCGCAAGUCGCCAGAAGAGGGAUCCGCGGCCGAUUAGCUUGUUGGCGAGGUAAUGGCUCACCAAGGCAUUGAUCGGUA